rnacentral:snRNA from 1 species
ACGAUUCGUUUCCUCUAUGUAUUAAUCGGAUUUUUGAACUUGGAGUACGGUGCUGGAGCUUGCUCCACCCCUGCUCAUGGGUUGUCCUGGUAUUGCAUUGCCUCCAGGUUCGGCUCACGUUUC